rnacentral:tRNA from 1 species
AGUAAGUUGGCAGAAUAAUGUAUUAAAUUUAGAAUUUAAUCAAGUAGAAAAAUAUUACACUUAUUA